UACGGGGGGAGCAAGCGUUGUUCGGAUUUACUGGGCGUAAAGGGCUCGUAGGCGGCCAACUAAGUCGGAUGUGAAAUCCCCAGGCUCAACCUGGGAACUGCAUCCGAUACUGGAUGGCUUGAAUUCGGGAGAGGGAUGCAGAAUUCCAGGUGUAGCGGUGAAAUGCGUAGAUAUCUGGAGGAAUACCGGUGGCGAAGGCGGCAUCCUGGACCGACAUUGACGCUGAGGAGCGAAAGCCAGGGGAGCAAACGGG
rnacentral:rRNA from 1 species